GUGGGGAAUAUUGGGCAAUGGGCGAAAGCCUGACCCAGCAACGCCGCGUGAAGGAAGAAGGUUUUCGGAUUGUAAACUUCUGUCCUCAGGGAAGAAGGAAGUGACGGUACCUGAGGAGGAAGCCCCGGCUAACUACGUGCCAGCAGCCGCGGUAAUACGUAGGGGGCGAGCGUUGUCCGGAAUGACUGGGCGUAAAGGGCGCGUAGACGGCUGUCUAAGUCUGGAGUGAAAGUCCUGCUUUCAAGGUGGGAAUUGCUUUGGAGACUGGAUGGCUUGAGUGCGGAAGAGGUAAGUGGAAUUCCCAGUGUAGCGGUGAAAUGCGUAGAGAUUGGGAGGAACACCAGUGGCGAAGGCGACUUACUGGGCCGUAACUGACGUUGAUGCGCGAAAGCGUGGGGAGCGAACAGGAUUAGAUACCCGGGUAGUCC
rnacentral:rRNA from 1 species